rnacentral:snoRNA from 1 species
CGGUGAUGAAGUCUUGAUGACGAGUCAGAUUCGUGGUUCACGAUGACGAGACUUCUUUUUUUUCCAUUCAUGCUUUUCUGAGG